GAUGAACGCUGGCGGCGUGCCUAAUACAUGCAAGUCGAGCGAACAGACGAGGAGCUUGCUCCUCUGACGUUAGCGGCGGACGGGUGAGUAACACGUGGAUAACCUACCUAUAAGACUGGGAUAACUUCGGGAAACCGGAGCUAAUACCGGAUAAUAUAUUGAACCGCAUGGUUCAAUAGUGAAAGACGGUUUUGCUGUCACUUAUAGAUGGCUCCGCGCCGCAUUAGCUAGUUGGUAAGGUAACGGCUUACCAAGGCAACGAUGCGUAGCCGACCUGAGAGGGUGAUCGGCCACACUGGAACUGAGACACGGUCCAGACUCCUACGGGAGGCAGCAGUAGGGAAUCUUCCGCAAUGGGCGAGAGCCUGACGGAGCAACGCCGCGUGAGUGAUGAAGGUCUUCGGAUCGUAAAACUCUGUUAUUAGGGAAGAACAAAUGUGUAAGUAACUAUGCACGUCUUGACGGUACCUAAUCAGAAAGCCACGGCUAACUACGUG
rnacentral:rRNA from 1 species